rnacentral:rRNA from 1 species
UACGGAGGGUGCAAGCGUUAUCCGGAUUCACUGGGUUUAAAGGGUGCGUAGGUGGGCAGUAAGUCAGUGGUGAAAUCUCCGGGCUUAACCCGGAACUGCCGUUGAUACUAUCUGUCUUGAAUGUAGUGGAGGUGAGCGGAAUAUGUCAUGUAGCGGUGAAAUGCUUAGAUAUGACAUAGAACACCAAUUGCCGAAGGCAGCUCGCUACACUAUUAUUGACACUGAGGC